rnacentral:rRNA from 1 species
GAUGAACGCUGGCGGCAUGCCUAACACAUGCAAGUCGGACGGGAAGACGUGUUUCCAGUGGCGGACGGGUGAGCAACGCGCAAGAACCUGCCCUUGGGAGGGGAACCACAGCUGGAAACGGCGGCUAAUACCCCGUAGGCUGAGGAGCAAAAGGUGGGAUCCGCCCGAGGAGGGGCUGGCGUCUGAUUAGCUAGUUGGUGAGGCAAUAGCUUACCAGAGAGAUGAACAGUAGCUGGUGCGAGAGGAUGAUCGGCCACACUGGGACUGAGGCACGGCGCAGGGUACUACGGGCGGCAGGAGUAAGGAAGAUUCCGCAAUGCGGGGUGGGCUGAGGAGGCAUUGCGGCGUGAAAGUAGAAGUCCCAGGGAUGAAGAACUGCUUUUCCAGGAGAAGAAGCAAUGACGGUAUCUGGGGAAUAAGCAUCGGCUAACUCUGUG